rnacentral:rRNA from 1 species
ACACGCCUACGGGAGGCAGCAGUGGGGAAUAUUGGGCAAUGGGCGCAAGCCUGACCCAGCAACGCCGCGUGAAGGAAGAAGGCUUUCGGGUUGUAAACUUCUUUUCUCAGGGACGAAGCAAGUGACGGUACCUGAGGAAUAAGCCACGGCUAACUACGUGCCAGCAGCCGCGGUAAUACGUAGGUGGCAAGCGUUAUCCGGAUUUACUGGGUGUAAAGGGCGUGUAGGCGGGGACGCAAGUCAGAUGUGAAAACCACGGGCUCAACCUGUGGCCUGCAUUUUAAACUGUGUUUCUUGAGUACUGG